rnacentral:lncRNA from 1 species
UGCGUUGGUGACAUGGUUAUGGCCACUGUCAAGAAGGGAAAGCCUGACCUCAGGAAGAAGGUCAUGCCGGCUGUCAUCGUCAGGCAGCGCAAGCCGUGGCGCCGAAAGGACGGUGUCUUCAUGUACUUUGAAGGUAUGGCUGAGUUCUUAUUGUGAAUGGGUCAUUCUGUGCUAGUGUACUGUAGUUAUUUAAUCUGCCUAGUGAGUUUGCUGUCUAUUAAGCUGGUAGUUGCCACUGUUUAAUUUUUUGAAACCACUUGCUUUACAUGUUGUAUGGAAUUUCUGUGAAAUUACACUUGCCUGUUGUUACUUGCUGGAAGCAAAUUUAAUUCAUCAUGUACAUAUUCUAUGUCAUUGUUUCAUUAUUAUCACAUGAAGAGUGAACACCUCUUCACUGUGGUCAUUUGUCACAAUGAAGCACAUGCAAAUUGGCCAGAAGAACAUAGUACAAUCUUCUGUUGAAUUAUGUAAUUACCCCUUGGCACAUGUUAUAAGCAUCUCAGCUGAUAAACUGUUGACAUCUUUUCUUCGUCCAUGUGAGAAUGCUUUAAACCACUGCCUUUUUCCCCUUUCAUGUGAGAAUUGUUUAGUCCUGAAGCUGUCUGAGGCUUUCCGUAUAUUGCAUUCUGAUGCUUUGGCCAUUCAAGUGUUGUUGGAUCACAGUGACUGAUUUUGUCAAAAUUCAAAUCUAAUGUUUCUAUGUCAUAUUUGCAGACAAUGCUGGAGUCAUUGUGAACCCAAAGGGAGAGAUGAAAGGUAUAAAUCAGUUCUUGGUAGAUUCAAUUUUGCUCUGCAUGUUGCAUCAAUUACAGGCAAUUGGAAGUUACAAUCAUUGAAUCUGUAUUAUACAUGCUGUAUGUGAUGCAAUGCUUCUAGCUGAUUAAAGCAGAUCAAUAAAUUUAGCUUCAGUAGUUAUUUCCAUGCAACUUCUGACUAUAUCAUAGCUGGAUGAACAGCCUGACUGAUUCAAGCAUCCAUUGGUUGUGCAGGUUCUGCCAUCACUGGACCGAUCGGGAAGGAGUGCGCCGACCUGUGGCCCAGGAUUGCCAGCGCCGCGAAUGCCAUCGUCUGAUCUGAUCGCCGGAGCAGCUAGAUGAUCAAAGCUUUUGAUAGCAUGUCCCUCUUUUCUUCUAGUUUACUUGUGGCCCUUGAGGAUGAGUUUCCUGGAUUAUGUAAUGCUGCUGGAUUAUUGUCUGUUAGGUUUAAGAUUUUGCACUGUGGUUUGGCUGCUAAGAUUUGUUCAGUUUGAACCUGAAAGAGCUUUUGAUCGGAUUUAUCUCUGUUGUGUCAAGUAUUCACCUGAGAAGUCUGGCUUGAAUGUUAAUUAGUCUGUUGCUAAGUGUGAGCUUGUGAUGAACUGGUGCGUGUUUGCCAUUUUUUUUCUAAGCAUUGCUGAGAGGCCAAACUGAGCUGCAAAUAUGCAGUUGCCAUGAACAAAAAACUUGCAGUUCUGGAGAAUGCUUGGUCGAAUAAUUUGACGAUAUUUGUUAUUUUACCGUGGCAUGAGGAAACAAGUUAGUUGGUGAAUGUGACAAGGUGUGCCGCCUUGACAACUGUUCGAAAUGCAGAAACUAAAAAAAAUUGGAAAACGGUGCUUUGCUUUUCUAGGCCAAGUUGGGAGCCCAAGAACAUGGACCGAUUCGUGCUCUGUAUCCCAAAAAAUCUAUGAGAUGCAUGAAGGCACAAACAGCAACCAUGAGAGCAUUGUAAAAGAGAAUAAGCAGCGAGCAGCCCAUUUUGACUUCAAGUUUAUCUAAGGAUGAACGGCAAAUAAAGAAGCAAAGAAGCAGAUAGUUUAGCGAGUUGGCACGUCUUGAACCAGGUACAUCUAAACUCACUUUUUAAAAAAUUAUUUAAAAUAUCAAAAAAAAUAGAACAAAAUUCCGCGCAUACAUGUUUGCAAAAAAAUGUCCGCUGCACAAAGUUCUAUGAAAAAAUUCUUUUUAUUUCAUCACUGUAAAAAAGAUAAAUUUUAUUUCUAAAUAGUAUUCGAUGACACAAUGUUUUGUCUUUCUUGCACAGCCCAAAAAAUGUUGCUUUUCUGUGAAACUUUAGAAUAUGGACAUAUCCGCAUGCACCUUUUCCUAGAAUUUUGGGAAACGUUUCCCACCCUCAAGCGAUUUUCUGAUCUCUUCCUAUGCAUUUUUUUCUCUCCUUACUUUUUCUCUGGCCUUAUCGCUUCUUCAUCUCACCUCAGUCCCCACACAUCUAAAAUUACUCUCCCACUGACGCAACAACCACAAAUAUCUAGUAUCUUUCGCUGGAAUCAGCAUUAUCUUUUUGCUGCAUGAGUGCUACAGCCAGUUUUGUGCAACCCGCAAAGCUACAACCACAACCAAUCAUGAAUAAGUUUCAAUCGGAGAUGGCGGAAUCUAGGGGGUCAGUCAGUGCUGCAACCAUUGACAGAAAAGGCUUCAACCAUAGAUAAAAAAAGCUUCAACCAGGCACUGAAAAAAGAAAAGGCCGGAAACGUUGACAGAAAAAGGUUCAACAAGGAUACCGUGCAACGAAAAAAAGCUUCAACCGUUGAUAGAAAAAGCUUCAACGGUAGAUGCAAAAUAUUCAACCAGGACACUGCAAUGGAAAAAGCUACGACCAUUGACAAAAAAAUGCUUCAAUUGUAUAUGAAAAAGGCUUCAACCGGCGAUAGGAAAAGCUUCUUGGAGGCUCGCGCUUCCAUGAAAGCUGCAAUGGCCCAGCAAACUGCUACAUGAGUGCUUUUUUAGUUGUAAAUUUAUACUAGAAAAUAUGUAGAAAACAUAUAACAAUUUUGCUUCCAUAGUUUUUUUUUGUUGUGAGCUUUUUUUUGCACAAUGCUACAUACGUUCUUUUUUCGUUGUAAAAGUACUGAAAUUAUGUUACAAACAUAUGAUUUUUUUUAAUUUGUGUUUUUUAGGCUUUUGUUAUGCACUUUUUGCUGCAAUGCUACAUACAAAUACAGUUUAACAAUAGGCGCAGAUCUUCUGCGUACAUUUUUUAUUGAAACUAUUGUGUGCACAUAGCAGAGACAAGUCACAAUCAUCAUUUUGAUGGGCUCCACCCACGUGACAGCAUGCAACAUCCAUGGCGCAUGGGACAAGCGACGUCCGGGCGAUGCUGGUGGGCCACCAGCGUACAAAAAAGGAAGAAGAAAGGAACGAUGUGCGUAGACGAUCAGACGGAUUAAAAUAAUCGAAUCGGACGACCUACACGCGACCGGCCGAAACUUUUUGGGCAUUUUGAAAUUUGUUUUUUAAAAUGGGUUCAUAUGUAUUCGGAUUCAUCCAUGCACUUCUAAUAGUUUAUCUAAGUUUUUGAAUUCUCUGAAUAAGGGGUGCCAUGUUUGGUUUCAACUUGAUCNNNNNNNNNNNNNNNNNNNNNNNNNNNNNNNNNNNNNNNNNNNNNNNNNNNNNNNNNNNNNNNNNNNNNNNNNNNNNNNNNNNNNNNNNNNNNNNNNNNNNNNNNNNNNNNNNNNNNNNNNNNNNNNNNNNNNNNNNNNNNNNNNNNNNNNNNNNNNNNNNNNNNNNNNNNNNNNNNNNNNNNNNNNNNNNNNNNNNNNNNNNNNNNNNNNNNNNNNNNNNNNNNNNNNNNNNNNNNNNNNNNNNNNNNNNNNNNNNNNNNNNNNNNNNNNNNNNNNNNNNNNNNNNNNNNNNNNNNNNNNNNNNNNNNNNNNNNNNNNNNNNNNNNNNNNNNNNNNNNNNNNNNNNNNNNNNNNNNNNNNNNNNNNNNNNNNNNNNNNNNNNNNNNNNNCGUAUCACUAAAGAAAAACGCUCGACUAAGAGCAACUAUCCUUAAAAGAACUUAGCUCAUGUGUCUGAGAAAAAAACACUAUUAACUCCAACUUAGAGCAACUCGAUCAGUUCCUGUAUCCCAAAAAACAUCCCAUGUAUUGAAAAAUAAGUGCUCUCAGAGUAAGAGCAACUCCAACAACUUUCGUAUCUCAAAAUUGCCAGUCAGGGGAAGUUGAGGCCAAAAAAGCUUUUCAACAACUCCCUUGAACCCGGAAUAAUUUUAUGGGAUCCUCUAAACUAUCCUCAAACACGUCGUGUGUUUAUGGGAAGAUGAUCUUUCACUAAACUUUUGGCGUGCCAAAACUUCAGCUCCUCGCCUGCACCAAAGCCGUGCUGCCACACCACCACUACGAGGCCACCUCGCCGGUGUCGCGCAUCACCUCCUCCCCGCUCUGGUGUCCUCCCUGACGCGCGUCGCCUCCUCCCCGCUCUAGCGUCCUUCCUUGCCCUGCUCCUAACCCUACGCAUGCAGCUAAGGCAUUCGGAGAUAUUCUGGACCCACAUUUUCUAUGUUCCAAAAAAUGUAUGACAACAUCUUUGCUCAUAUUUUUUCCGUAGAUGAACAUUGUUGUACAAUCUUUUUUCAAGGACUCAUCCUCCGAUGAGGAUGAAGAAAUCGAACUUGUGAUCGCUUUGUAUGGAGACACGAUGGCAAACUAAGAAGCCGAAGUGGGUACGGUCAGUGCCUUGUCAGCUUGUGCUUCUUCAGAACAAGCAAGCCGGUCAUGACAAGCUACUAGAUAACUACGUUGGUGAGAAUCCGGUAUAUGAUUAGACUUUUAGAAGAAUAUUCUGAAUGUUAAUGGGUUUUCUUCUUGCGCAUUGCUUGUGUUAUCGAAGAUCACUAUCUGUUCUUUCAACAAAGAAGAAAUGCAGCUGGUCAACAAGGUCACAGUAGUUUGAAAAAAAAAUGGUUGUGUGAAUGCUUGCAUAUGGUUGUCGAGCUGAUAUAUUGAUGAUUGGGUUGGAAUGGCAUAGAGUACUUGCAUUGAUAGUUUGAUUUUUUUUUUGUAAAGUCCGUCGUUGGGAUAUUCAGAGAAGAAUAGCUCCAACUUUUUUUUUGACAAAAAGACUGUAAGGAAACCCCUACAAUAUAAUUGGUGCAACAAAUCCAAAUUGUAAGUAUCAUGCCUUGAACCAAGGUGGGUGGGAGGGCAUCAACCUCCUUUCACCACUAUGCUAAGCCGUAGUCUGCAUCCGAGCACCAAAUGAAGAGGACACUGCAAGACUUUUUAGAUGGGUGCAUCGAAAGGCUUUCCAAGAAUGCUUGAAAGUAUCGAUUGCAUGCAUUAGAAGUGGAAGCUUUGCGCUGCAUGGACAAUUCAAAUGAAAGGGUAAAAAUCAACUACAAUUCUAAAAGGUGUGGCAUCAAAUGACAUGUGGCUUUGGCAAUCAUAUUUUGGAUUCCUAGGAUCUGACAAUUAUCAGAAUGUUCUGCAAAGAUCUCAUCUAUUUUCAAGGCUUUCAGUUGGAGAGCCACCUCCCGUGAAUUUUGAAAUCAAUGAGCGUCAAUACAACAUGGGCUACUCCCUUGCUGAUGGCAUAUAUCCGGCAUGGUCAACUUUUGUGCAGACUUGGAAGAGAAGAGUGAAUAUUCAUGAUCGUGAAGGUAUAUAUGUCCCGCCACUCCCGUCUUUUGACAACGCAAAUAUCUUCCCAAUCUCUCAUGGUACAAUGUCACACAAUGAUGUCAAUUGUUUGACCUGAGGUGACAUGGCACUCAUGAUCUUUUAGAUGCAGUCACCACAAAAACAACACGCACAUCCAACAAAAAGAAGCACAUGAAUGAUCUUCAAUAGAUCUGUAGAAAUUUAAACUGCAAAAUCAAUCUAGAAUCAAAUUCACAAAGCCUCAAUAUAGCUAAUCAACAAAUAUCCAGCGGCGGCUCCGAGAGACCCUCAAUUGCCGAUCUGUUCAUCGGUGGAAGAAUAACCUAAAUCAAAGCUACCCCUCCUACACUGUCAAGGUAGUACAAAUAACACUAAAAGUAAAUUUUACAUAUAGGUCCGUAGACCAGCUAGUGACGAAUACAAACAAUGGAGCAAGUUGAAGGCGUGCCAUCGUCAUCGCCCCUCCCUCUUUGGAGUCAGGCAAACAUUGUUGUAAUAGACAGUUGGGAAGUCUUCGUGUUAAGGCCCCAUAAGACCAGCGCACUAGAACAACAACCACCGCCAAUGAAGAGAGGUGUAGAACAGAAGGAUCCAACCUGUAGACACACAAACGUAGACGAACGGAGCAGAACCAGUCAAGUCCACCGAAGACAAACGCCGACCAGAUCCCAUGAGAUUCGUCGAAGAUAAACCUCCACACGCCUUCCAACGACGCUUGAAACAUCACUGGGACGGGGGCUAGGCGGGGAGGACCUUAUUCCAUCUUGAAGAAGCCGCCGACUCCUCGUCUUCUUAAGCACGGCAAAUACCCUAACAAAACUCAGAAGAGCACCUAAAAACGGAGCCCUCCCACUGGCAAGGGUCGGGAUCCACUGCGCCUUCAUGGUCCAAGGACCAUAGGAGAUGAGGAGGACCGACGGUGGCGCGAGAGACAGGGAAACCCUAGAUGUGAGUUCACAAGAGAGCAGGAACGAAGGGGUACUAGCAUCUACUAAAUUACUAAGCUCUCAAGAAUUGAAGCCUUGGAAGAGCUUGGAUGUUUUCUCUCUCCAAAUGGACCCCGUUUAAUUUGUUAGGGGGGGGGGGGUCAUUCAUGAAGUUCAUGAAUAUUUUUAAGCAUGUGGAUAUUUUUCAAUUUGCUAACUUUAUUUCAAAAUUAUAACAUUUUUUGUAAUCUUUAAAUUUUUGAAGGAAUGAUGAUUUUUAAUUUAUAUUUUUUAAAAAAAUUCAAGAUUUAGAAAAAACCGUGAACAGUGGGGGCUCGAACGGGCGGAAGCCGGAUGAAGGCAGUUGGGCAAUUGGCGAGUGACCGCCGAUUUUACAUCUCAUGUAGGUGGAGAUGCAAAUUUGCAUCUCGAGGUGUUGUAUUUUACAUCUCCGGGAGGCAGAGAUGUUUUUUUUGCAUCUAGAUCAUAUGUUGGAGGUGGGUUUUUAGGUCUCAGGGGUGCAAAAGUUAGUUAUUUUUGCCUCUACAUCAUCUAUUGGAUGCUCUAAGUGUUCUUCCUUAGUUGUUUUGCCAAGCUUUUUUUUGUCUUGAGCUUUUUUGACUUGUGUCUUGGCCAAGCUGCGUCGCCCCACUCUACGCUUGUCUGCUAGUUCGGAUGAGUUGUCAAACAUGGGUGCUCCUUUGUUGCAAACGCAGUCCUGAUGGAUGUCGAGGAGUUAAGGCCGAAAGCCCUACUCUACUCUUGUCAACGUGGGUGCUCCUUUGCUGGUGUUUUAUUAGGACGUACAUGCGACUAGAAUAGAGCAAAGAAAUAGCUGCUGCCAGCCGUAAGGCCUUCCCGUCAAAAAGGAAAGAAAAAGAAAAAAAGAAAUAGCUGCUGCCAUCUUCUGUACUUGGGUCAGAUUUUGUAAAUUGAGAACUACUGAGGAUUAAGAAGAAAUACUGAUUGCAAUUGUCCUGUGCCAUGGAAUAUUGGGAAAAAUAAUUGGCAUCGUCGAUUCGCUCUUUUGGUCACAUCACAUCUACGCCAUUGGCAACCAUAGGGUUUGCAACUACAAAUGGGGCCAAGACCGAGGCAGGGAUAGUGGGCCUUUAGCGUUGCCCAUGCUUAGCGAGCCUCUUCUCGUUCUUUGAAGACUUCCACUUCAUUAUCUGGGGCGAGGCGCGCUGGAGUCGGAUUGCUAAGUCGAAGAAGUUGGUCGGAACGUCAUCCCCUGGCCACAAUGUCAUAAAUAUCUCUUCCAUUGUUGGCUUGAUCAGAUUGAGCAGCUCGCCAAUUUGCUUCAGUCUAUCGGGGAGAAGGUCAAGCCGGCUGGUUUCUUGGAACUGCGACCAGAAAGCCCGGAGUAUUUCCUGCUCAGGAUCAUUGAGCUCUUGAUAGUACUUGUGGGCGCUCGCAGCACUCUGGGGCAGGUCGGCGAAGAUCUCUGCGUGGUGCCAAAUCUGAGUUAGCGCGGCAUAGCUAUUGCUUCCAAAUCGACAUUGGAGAAGAUAUGGUUGACCAGCGACAAUCUGCUUGGCUUGCUCUACUUCGUCUCGAGCAUUGCGACGGACGAGGUUGGAUUCCUUCAGACUAUACUCGAGCAGUUUAAUUUGGUCACCCAGUCUGGUCUUCUCAGCCUUCAGCUGGUCACACUCAGUCUGGCUCUUCUUGACCUCCUGCUGAAGUAGGUCGGAUGCAUCCCGGGCGGCCUGGCACGCCUCUUGUUCUUGCACAAGUUUGGCAGUAGUCUUUUGGGCCUCUUUUUGGAUGUCGUGGAGCUGUUGGUUGCUAGAAUUGAGCUGGUUCCUCAACUCGGUCAUACGCCUUUCAACUACUGCAUUCAAGUUUGGAGGUGGUCAGCACAAAUUUUGCAAAUAUGCAAGUUAUAUAUGGAAGGAGUUGCCGUAGGAAUAGUCGAGCUUACCCAUGGAAUCACUAAGAGUUUUGGAGAGAUUUUCAUUCUUAUGCUCGGCUUCGGCGAGUAGUGUCUUGAGCCGGGCUAUCUCGUUCUCCAAACGCUUGUUGUCCCGAGCUGCAGCCUGUAUAAAAAAAUUCCAAGUUACAGGAAGGUUAACAUGGAUAAGGCCUCCUACUAAGAGAAAUUGAUCCCCAGGCCGACCUUUGCAGCCCGACACGAGUCUUGAGGGCUACUGGAUUUGCGUUAAUUCAAAGGUAGCUAGUACGUGUUACUCUAAGAAGAUUCAAUCCUAAGGUCGGUUUGCUAAAGCAACCUAAGUCUUGAGGGUUACUGCACAUCGGUUUAAUCUAAGUUUGAGUUUUACGAGGAGAGUAUCGACCCUCAAACCAGCCCUCCAGCCCGAUCUGAGUCUUGGGGGCUAUUGGAUCACUGAUUUUGACUAAAAAAAUCUAUUCCCGAGGAGAUUUUGAUUUUGAUUCCCAAGGUGGACAUUCUGCCUCGCUUGUGUCUCGGGGGCUAAUGCACAAUUGUUUUAUCUUAGUCAAAAUUAAGACGAACUACAACCCAAUUUGUGUUAAACCGGACUCCAGCUCGGGGGCUAGCGUGCACGAAAGUGCUAAGUUGAGAUACAUGACUCAUGGUGCAGACCGGAUUUAGUUCUGGGCCGCACCUUGAGAGCUACUGGCUAUACAUCUAUGUAGAAAUCAGAUGCAUAAGUAAAAUUACCUCCAUCCCAGGACCAAAGGCGCCCGUCAUCCGUAUAACGCCGAGCUGCAUCUCGUGGGCCUUGUCAUUCAGGUACUUCAUCGCAUCUCGCUGGGCCUCAUUCAGGUAAUGGUUGACCCUCGAUUUCUGGACUUCCCAACGCCCCAAUACGGGCGCGACUUCUGAACCAUUGAUUGACAUCUCGCCAGGAGGCUGCUGGGUCAGGACCACAUUGCCCGAUGUGUUGGGGCCAGACAAUUGCAAGGGCAUGUCAUCUCCAAUGACUGUAUUGACUAGUGGCCCAUGGCGUAAGGUCGGGACAACGACUGGCGGCAGCGGCGGCGGUGCUUGGAGCUCUUGAGUUGAUGGAGCCGGGGAGUUAACCACCUCGACAUUUUCUUUAGGCCCGAUCUCCUGGUUAUCAAAUCCAGGAGCCCCGGGCUGGCCUUGUCCGUCUGCAUUAGCUGCAGGCGGGCUUCUUGAUGUGGCAUCUCCAGAUGGCGCCAUUUUCGACAUCGACUUGAUCUUUGAGAGUAUAGUGUUGUGGACUUGCUCUGUGUUUCUAAGGUAGGACAUGUGCUAGGCAGUAUAUAUAGCCAUCGACCAGGGGCUAUCGAAGGAUGAUAUUAAUUACAUUCAAUAAAUUUGAAAAAGGAAAUACACUAAUGCAUACAAUAAACACCAUUUUAUUUAUAGUGACAGUGCAACGCAUACUAUAAACCAUGACAUGUGCAAUUUAUUAUAAGAUUUCGCAGGGGUACAGGUAUAGUAUAUGUUGAAUGCCACAUUUAAUAUUACCCUUUUUUGGCUUUCCACUAUCUGGCUCAUAAUCACCUACCAUAUGCAAAGGUUUCUACCCGUUGCGGAGAGGCUGACCUGCAGCUCAUUUUUCGUCAUGAGAAAACGACGAGCAAAGACGAAAAAUGCCAUGAAACAAAAAAUAAUAAUCUCGAGAACCUUCGGUGCUUUCAGUGUGACAUGCUUAAUUUGCCACAGGCUUUUCUUUUUGCAUUUUUGGCGCAGCUUACAUGAAGAAAAACUGUGGACGAAUCGUGACCAGUUAAUAUAUGUUGUUUAGAAACUGUUUUGAAAUUUGAAAUUUAGAAAUUAGAAACCCUAGUUCUUGGGCUGUUUGCUCGGGUAAGAUGGGACCCAACAAGCAAAACGGGCUGAAUGUGUGUGCGUAAGCCCAACGUGAGAUGGUUGGGCCUUCCUUAUCCCUCGUCCCACUCCCACGGUCCCACCCACCUCUCUCCCUCCGUCCUCGUCCACACUCUCUCCUCGAUGUCGCCUAUCGCGGCGCACCGAGCCUCUCCGGCCAUGUGGUCCCCGCAGCCUCCGCCGCCCCGCCUCCAGCUCCGGCGACCGGCGGGGACGCCCCUUCACUCCUCGCGCCGCCUCAGCCGCAUCGCCGCAUCGCAGGAGGACCCGCUGACCGCGCUGACCCGCGUGCUGUGGGGCCGCGCGCUGCCGCCGUCGCAGCUCGUGCUCGCCGUGCGCCACGGCUGGACCUCGGCGUGGCGGCUCCUCAUGCGCCAGCUCGCGCCCUCCGACCCGGCCACGGGCGCCUUCACCCGCACCCCGUCCCGCUUCCCGGCCGUCGCGCAGCCCGCGCCCGUCCCCGGCGCGCGCCUCCACCUCUACGUCGGCCUUCCCUGCCCCUGGGCCCACCGCGCGCUCCUCGUCCGGGCCCUCCUCGGCCUGGGGCCCCGCCUCCCCGUCUCCGUGGCCGUCCCGGGCGACGACGGCGCGUGGUCCUUCACGCCGGAGAGCCCCGACGCGCUCUACGGCUCCCGCAGGCUCCGGGACGUGUACGCCGCCCGGCGCGGCGGGUACGAGGGCCGGGCGUCCGUGCCCAUGCUCUGGGACGCCGACCGCCGCGAGGUGGUCUGCAACGAGAGCAUCGAGAUCGCCAAGUUCCUCUGCACGCUCGUGGACGACGGCGCCGGAGGCCUCGACCUCUGGCCGCCGGAGCACCGCGAGGAGAUCGACCGCUGGUACGGCGUCAUCUACCCGAGCGUCAACAACGGCGUGUACCGGUGCGGGUUCGCGCAGAGCCAGGCGGCCUACGACGCGGCGGCGGGCGAGCUGUUCGACGCGCUGGACAUGCUCGAGGACCACCUCUCCGGGUCCCGGUACCUGUGCGCCGGCGCCGGCGUGACGCUGGCCGACGUGUGCCUCUUCACCACGCUCAUAAGGUUCGACCUGGUGUACAACCCACUGUUCCGGUGCAGCCGGAGGAAGCUGGUUGAGUACCCCAGCCUCCACGCCUACAUGCGGGAGAUCUACCAGUUGCCCGGCGCCGCCGAGACCUGCGACAUGGCCGCCAUCGCCGACGGGUACUUUGGGACGCUCUUCCCGCUCAACCCCGGCGGGAUCCUGCCCGUCGUGCCGGCGAGCUGCAGCCGGGAGGCCCUCAUGAAGCCUCAUGGCAGAGAGGCAAUGCCUUCUGUUGCUGCUGCUGCUGCUGAUGGUAGGCAGCUAGGAGCGGCUGCUAGUGUUGUUGGCUAGGAUUACAGAGUGUAGCUGAAUUGUGUAGCACAUCAAAUUACUUACUGAAUAAUACCUUGGUACAUAUAGAGGAUGAAACAAAAUGGCAGACUAUUACUGUGACCGAGAGUUUCAUGUCAUAUAAAUGCUUUAUUAGCAAUAUAUUCUGUUGGUCGAAAGACUGAUACAUUGACAACAAUGUGAGGAAGAUUCAAGAACCUUCUACUAGUAAAUAUUGUGUAUGGCAUACUGGUCUCCAUACAUUUACAUCCAGUCAUGAUGCUAAUAAUAAUAAGGCAGUCAGGCCCUUUUACUUCAGAUAAUCGUAGCUCGUCGCUGAUAGUUCAGAUUGUAUCAUAACAUCGAUGCCCAAGGUGUCAGUCCUUGCUACAUGGUCGUUUCAAAAGGCUUGCAACUGCGAAGCGAUAAAAUGUAAGUUUUAGAACCAAGGAUUCUCACUGAGGACAUUGUAUAUAAAAACAUGCAUCUGGAAAAUAGAAAGUACGGAAAGACUGCUGGGUAGAGGUAAAUAUUACCAUUGUCAUGAUUUGGUAUCACCCUCUUCUGUUUCCAUGUAAAGUUUGUGCUCUCUAAUGUACUCGAUUACUUCAUCGCAAGUAAGAUACUUUAUUGAGAGAUGUUUUCUUAUACAUUCUCUGCAAUUUGAUAAAUGAAUACAGGAAUCAACAAUGAUACAUCAAAUAAAUGAAAAACUGAAGGUAGUAAUAGCAUCUAAUUAUACAGGAAGCAACAUAGAUAAAAAUGUCACCUUACUCUAGAUGAACUGAUCUGAUUUGGCACAAUCUCAUCAACCGAAAUGAUGUUAUCCUGAAAAACAUACAUGGGGAAACACACAUGUGAGUAAAAAUCAUCAGUCAGUCGGGUAAGUAAGCUCCUCAAGCUAGAAGUUUCUCACCCUGCAUUCUUGCAGUGUCUCGCUGCUGGAUAUUAGCUUUUGAACAUCUUUUCCUUCCCUACGUAUACAAACAACACCAAAGUCUUUACAUAUGGCCCUGACCUGGAAACAGAAAAGGUUGUGCAUCAAAGUUACUUCUUCGAUAAGGGCAAUUCAAACAACAAUUAAAUAGGACACUGUGAUUUAUAAAUAAGGGGUGCACAAAUUUUGUAUGUCGAAUUGUGGAUACCAAAAAAUGUUCAAGUUUUAUACCUGAUCUGGAAUCCAAACCCCUGGCGUGCUGAAUGACUCCAGAAGGUCAGAACCACAUAACAGCAUUACCCUGACAUCACCUGAGAGAAAAUGCAUGUUGUAAAGGACGGAUUUAUAUACAGGGCAAAUGCACCGACACAUUUGAAUGAUCACUGAACAGUGUGAGAGAAGGUAUUACUGUAUUGCAACAAAAAAUCUUGCCAUAUACCUUGAUCAGCUAAGCUGUCCUUGCACAGAGAAUUCGCAACCCUCGAGAGAACGGUCAAGGUGCGCUGAUAACCUUUCUGCAUUGCCUGUAUCAAGACACAAGAAUGUGUGCAUCAAAUACCCACAUCAUCCAAACUGAAAAUACAUUAUGUGACAGCGCAAAAUGAAAAAUGAGGUUACCUCCCACGGAUCAACCAUCACAAAAGAUGAGCUUCCACACGCCAAUUCGCAGAGGCGAACCCGGUGAGCAGCGGGCAAGAGGUCCUAACCAGCCCCAAAUUGCGAAUUCAGUCACGAGAACGGCGUCAACCGUGAACACAAAUCGAUACACAUUUCCAGUUCAUAGUACCUUCUUCUUAUACGCAUCGUUCACCGGGGACAUGUACCCACCCAAAACACAGUACCCUCGCUGCUGCAACUCAUCCUUCGCCAACUCUAUAUGAACGAAACACAUCAAAAGAUGGGGUAAGAGGUACUCUUCUCACUUUGCUGAUCCCAUUCUUAGGCUGUUCUUGAGACUUACUAGUACUAAACACAGUACCACACUGAAUCACUGAUAGGUGCAGCAGAUUAGCAAGUGUUGAUUGAGGCUUACCGAACAUGCGCAGGUGCAUGUAGGUGGGGGGAUUGAAGCUGCCGGUGGCCACCAGCACAACGCCGCCUCGGCUUCCCCCAUCCCUGCCGUCAUCAAGAAACGAACGGGGGAUCAGUCCAGCUAUACGCAUCAAGCAACCCAAGAAAAUCCGAGAGCAGAUUCUCUUCUUUCUGCUUACCGAUUUGGAUCCAUGGAGAGCUUCUCCGUGGGGAAGGGGAGAGGAGCUUCCGCCUCCUCCAUGGCCGCCCUCUGCAAAUCCUCAGCCGAGCCGAGCUGAUCUCUCGCUGCGGUUCUCUCUUCCUGCGGUGCGCCGUCGGCGGGAGGCCGGCAAUCCGGCCGGCGUGCGCUGGAGCAAGAUUCCCAAGUAGGAGGCUUUUUUUUAGAAUGCUGGACUCUGCGUGCCCGUGUGGGUGGGCAUCGCGAUAUGGGCCUUGUUGGGCCGCCGUGGUCAUGCCCAGGGGCCCCGCUAGAAUAAUAACAAACAGGUCCACGGAGAGAUGCAGCCUAUCAAACGGGCCGGGCCCAUGUGGCCUUGGGCAGCCCCGCGCGGCUCUAUAAAGCCGCCUCCUCGAGCCGCUAGGUUUUGGUGCUCUCUUCUUCCUCCUCUCCUCCUCCCUCGGCGGCGGCGCAGGCGGCGCGGAGGCGACAGGCGAAGGCGAAAUGGUGAGCGGAUCGCCGCGGCUCCGGCGGAGGCCUCCUCCCUCCGCGGCGCUCCUUCUCGUCUAGAUAGAUGGAUCUCGAGUUCUGACUGUUCCUUUGCUGUUGUUCUUGCGCAGACGAAGGGAACGGGCAGCUUCGGCAAGCGCCGGAACAAGACCCACACGCUGUGCAUCCGCUGCGGCCGCCGCAGCUUCCACCUGCAGAAGAGCACCUGCUCCUCGUGCGGCUACCCCGCCGCCCGCAUCCGCAAGUGUAAGUCCCGCGGCCAGAUCCCCUUCCCCUAUCUUAGCACGCGAUUCCGGUCCGUCGACCUAGCUGGUUUAGGUAGAUGUGUUGCUUGGUUCUCGUAUGUGCUGCCUGCGCGAGGCCGUGAUUGCUUAGGUUUUCGGUGCUGUUGGGGUAGCCCCGUCGCUGUUGCCUAGAAUCGCAUGCAUGCUAGCUCUGUGGCUCGACGUGGUACGCCUGUGGCUUGAUGUGCCGUAGUUUUUAUCUGGUUCUAAUUUGUGAUGAGUAGUUCUUGUUUGAUACGAUGUGUUAGCCUUUGAUCAUAAGCAUGAUAGUUUGAAGAUGCUGGGAAUGACUGUAAAAAGGAAUUCCUGCAAGACCCAACUCUAGUUAUGAAUUGUCAUAUAAGUAUCUUACCUAGCUCUGUUACACCUCUGAUAGAUGUUCAGCAACUAGAGCUAUUAAUAAGGUGGAUGACUUGGCUGUUUGUUCACAUGUAUCAUCGAUCUUAAAAUUUAAGAUGUUCAUCCUGUUCUAAGCAGUACACAUUUGUAGCCAGCCUUUAGUGAUGAAGUUUUAGUUAGUGCAGGGCAGUUAAGAUUGAUUGUCAUAUUGCUCUCACUGUCUUCUUAUAAGUUAAAGCACAUCUCUCAUUUAGUAAGUGUUAUGUUUCUUCUGCAUCUGAUAAGAUUCUGUCUUGAAAAACAGACAACUGGAGUGUGAAGGCCAUCAGGAGGAAGACCACCGGCACCGGGAGGAUGAGGUACAUGCGCCAUGUGCCCAGGAGGUUCAAGAGCAACUUCAGAGAG